CAGCCGCCGCGGUAAUACGUAGGGGGCGAGCGUUACCCGGAUUCACUGGGCGUAAAGGGGGUGUAGGCGGCUCGGUAAGUCGGGUGUGAAAUCCCACGGCUCAACCGUGGAAUUGCGCCCGAAACUGCCGAGCUUGGGGCCGGUAGAGGGAGACGGAACUGCCGGUGUAGGGGUGAAAUCCGUAGAUAUCGGCAGGAACGCCGGUGGGGAAGCCGGUCUCCUGGGCCGCGCCCGACGCUGAGGCCCGAAAGCUAGGGGAGCAAACCGGAUUAGAUACCCGGGUAGUCCUAGCCGUAAACGAUGCCCACUAGGUGUGGGGGAGUAUUUCCUCCGUGCUGGAGCUAACGCGUUAAGUGGGCCGCCUGGGGAGUACGGCCGCAAGGUUGAAACUUAAAGGAAUUGGCGGG
rnacentral:rRNA from 1 species